rnacentral:rRNA from 1 species
UACGGGGGGAGCAAGCGUUGUUCGGAUUUACUGGGCGUAAAGGGCGCGUAGGCGGCGCCGCAAGUCGACUGUGAAAUCUCCGGGCUUAACCCGGAAAGGUCAGCCGAUACUGCGGGGCUAGAGUGCAGAAGGGGGCAACUGGAAUUCUCGGUGUAGCGGUGAAAUGCGCAGAUAUCAGGAGGAACACCAAUGCGAAGGCAGCUCGCUGGGACGUUACUGACGCUGAGACGCGAAAGCGUGGGGAGCAAACAGG